UACGGAGGGUGCAAGCGUUAAUCGGAAUUACUGGGCGUAAAGCGUGCGCAGGCGGUUUGUUAAGUCCGUUGUGAAAGCCCCGAGCUCAACUUGGGAAUUGCAGUGGAUACUGGCAGGCUGGAGUACGGUAGAGGAAGGUGGAAUUCCCGGUGUAGCAGUGAAAUGCGUAGAUAUCGGGAGGAACACCAGUGGCGAAGGCGGCUACCUGGACCAGCACUGACACUGAAGCACGAAAGCGUGGGGAGCAAACAGG
rnacentral:rRNA from 1 species